CGUCACCUCACUCGUCUUCUCUGGGCUCCGGGAAGCGGUUUGGGAACCUGGGGGGUCUGCUCGGAAAGUGAAGGAGGCGCACCUGGGAACUUCAGAGCAGAGACAGAAGAACUCAGAAAGGAGCAGAUCCUAGAUGCGUAAGGUCAGAAGUUGUUCUUAAUCUCCCUGCUGAGAAUGAGCCAGUCUUGGAAAUGACGCCACCUCUAGAAGCCAGCAGACUUAUGACACUUGGGAGUUUGGACAGCCUUGAGAAGAACAAGGUGAGCUGGGUGGCUUAGGGACAGGCCACUUAGGAAAGGCCACUUUCUUGGAGACCUUGUGAAGGCGGG
rnacentral:lncRNA from 1 species